rnacentral:rRNA from 1 species
UACGUAGAAGACUAGUGUUAUUCAUCUUAUUAGGUUAAGGUACUUAGACGGUACUACUAGCCCAAUUAGGGUACGUAUUACUAGAGUUUAUAUGAGAGGAGUAUUCACGAGUAGAGAUGAAUUUUGAUAUCAUGACGACUGACAUGCGAAGCACUCUGUUAUACUGACGUGAGACGAGCUGUAGCACAGAUAGAUACCGUGUACGUCAGACACGAUCUCUGCUACGU